rnacentral:rRNA from 1 species
UACGGAGGGUGCAAGCGUUAUCCGGAUUCACUGGGUUUAAAGGGUGCGUAGGUGGGCAGGUAAGUCAGUGGUGAAAUCUCCGGGCUUAACCCGGAAACUGCCAUUGAUACUAUCUGUCUUGAAUACCGUGGAGGUGAGCGGAAUAUGUCAUGUAGCGGUGAAAUGCUUAGAUAUGACAUAGAACACCAAUUGCGAAGGCAGCUCACUACGCGAAUAUUGACACUGAGGCACGAAAGCGCGGGGAUCAAACAGG